AGAUUGGGCGCUGCAUGUAAGGGUGCCCCACGGAUCGCCAGGGUUGAUUCGGCUGGUCUGGCUGGCUAGGCAGUGCCCCCUUCCUCCCUCACUGCUCCAUCUGCAUCCCUCCCAAAGCUGCAUGCUUGGUUGAAGAGGCUAACCAUCCCCCAUAAAGGAAGACCAUUUCCUUGGUCAAGGGUAUAGGAGUAGCUGCACUCCCCUACUAGAACCUCCAACAAGCUCUCAGGAUUAGGUGCAACAUUAAUUUAGUUUCUUUAUUGAAAAGCUACUUGGAUCCUUU
rfam:Heterocephalus glaber contig136352, whole genome shotgun sequence.